GAAUUAUUUGGCAUUCUUUCUGAAAAAGUGAAAAACUGAUCAGUUCCAUGAACUUCAAUCCAUUCUAAUAGCUAAUAGCCCCAUCUCACGGUGCGAGUUUAAAAAAAAUAAAAUUCGUGGUAAGCACGGAGAAUGAAUGUAGCCGGUACAUCGGAGCACAGGGACGUCUCUUAGCGCUAAAGGCAGGUACUCGAGAAGAUUCGCUAAUGGCAGGUAAGCAGGGGAAGACUCGUGAAGAUUUUUCAACAUGAUGAAAAAUGUCCACGAGAGCCCUGAGUACCGACGAGUGGCCAUUACCGUAAAUCUCCGAGUUCGAAUCGGGGCAAACUCGGGAGAACUCUUGGAAUGAACUCGUACAGUGAGACAGGGGUUUAAGGCUUCAUGCGAACCAUGAAAUAACUAAUCUCGAUCAUUUUUCAACUCAUUGCACCUACUAAGAAUCUAGCGUGCAUGUCUCUGGGGAAAUUACAUGACAAAGAAAGAAUGUAAGACACAAGAGCAAAAACAAGUAAUAUAUCAGAAGAAAUAAGGAAAUAAAUCGCUCAAAUAUUUUAAUGGUUCUUUCACAGGAACAUUAUUGUAGAAAGUCUAAUUCAAUAAAUCAGUCAAUUAUUUUCUGUAUGCGUGAUGGGUGGAUUAAAUAUGUUCCCACAGAAUUUAAAUGUAAUCUUCCUGCCUAAAUGCCAGCUCUUUAAGCUGCUUCAAUGUAAUUCCCAGCACAUUGUAACCGCUUGCUGCAAUCUGUGCUUGUUAUCUUUUGUCAAAUGUGCAGUGGCAAAUGAAACAUCCUAUGCAGGUACUUCUGGGCACAGUCAGAAAACUGCUGUGGAAAGCUAGUUGCCUGCCAAAUCUAGAAAUGUUUCCCAAUUUAAAGUAGAAAUUGCAAAAUAAAAAUUGCCCAAUCUCUUGUGUAUCCUGCUAUCUUGGUGUAACCUUUUAUCAGCAGGUCAUGAACCUAUUCUCUCAAAUGCAAGUGGUGGAUCGGCAGCUAAAGAGACAACAUGACAAUAAGGUAAAUAAAUACCCAGUUAAAGCAAUCGUGAAAAUAAGCAGCUUAUCAAGUUAAUUAGCAACUCUGGAUCAGACAGGACGGGUUUUAAGGUGCAUGCUCAAACAUGCCUGCCACCUUCCUUGGAACCUUCAUAUUUGUCACCAUGACUCAUGAGACAACAAUAUCUAUGAUUCAAAAAAUAUCAAUUGAACUCGGAUUCUUCACAAGUUUGAUAGAGAUGCUUUGAACACCUAAUGUUGGAAUUUAUCAACACAAUGCUCACCAUUCGGUGGUACAGUUUAGGCAGGUAAAAAAAAACAAAAGAAAAACAGGAGACAUUGAACAGUCCCCACCUCAAAAAGGGUUGACAGAAUUUUAUUGAAAUGGGAGUCAACAUAAUUCUGUUUUGUUCUGCAUGAAAACAAAGAUGACAGAUGAUGGCCUCGUACCUGGGACAGUUUCUGCCCAAUUCCUGAAAACCUUGUUGAUGCUCCUUCGUCACCAAUUAGCAUUUUGUUUCUUUUUACAAAGAAAACCCGAAGGCAAUAAUCGAGUCAAAACAAUGUUUCCUCCUAUUUAGGCCACCUAAAGCAAGUCACAACUAGUAGCUAAAUUGAAAGUGAAGAGUGAAAUUGUGGAGAAAAUCCUGUACACGGCAGAGAAUGUUCUUCAUCAGGGAGGUCAUGGGCCUCGAACCCUCAGUUGACGGGACGAUCAUGACUCCGGUAGCUGGCGGAGUUUGGGCACUCCGUAUCGGGGAGAUCAAUUCCUGCAUCGGGUGGAUGUCAGCUCCCCUGCGCCGACGAUCGGACCCCGGGUCGGGGCUGGUCGAACGUCUGCAUCGUUGGAGCUCCCGACUAGCCUCUCCCGAGACUGCGAGCUCUUGAUGAUUCAGUUCCUGAACUCUCAAGGAUAUCUUAAUUUGAUGCAGUUCCCCAAUGCACCAGAAAACAGAGUACCUGCCACCUCUACAAACAAGCACCCUCCUCCUCCCACCCCAGUGAGUUGAAAUAAAAUGUGGAUUAAGUUGAUUUCAAAAUCUUGUGAUGAUUUAGAAUUAAUUAGUAGUGAAAAGCUAGAGAAACACCAAUAAAGAUUUAAAAAAAACAGUUACUGAGCCUGAGCGCUGGCUCUACCUUGCCCUGCCAAGAAAAACAUGAAUGUCAACAAGUUCAGAAUUUAUUUAUUUAUUUUCACAUUAUAUGCAUUGCAAGGUUUAAAAAAAGUGGAUGCGCUAUUUACAAUCCAAAAUGAACCAUUGUUUUUUAUCAGGGAGUCCAAAAUAUGGUGCAGUUUGAAUCAAUUUAUAUCUGAAUAUGUUUUGGUUCUUGGCCUAAUGAGAACAGUAGUUUUACAGUAGCUUUAAGAUCAGGUGAAACCCAAAGCAGGUUCAGUUCCUGAUUAUUGAAUAUGUAGUAUUAAUUGAAACAACGAUUGUUACUCCAUCACUUC